GGAAGCUGUGAAGACGUGCACUUAUGAAUGUGCCCCUCAACUUCCGUAGCACCAGGCUCACCUGUGGUUUCUGAAACUGGGAAGUUCUGGAAUUGUGCCUGGGCUCCAUGCAAAGUCCUUUUGGAAGCUCCCGUGUGCUGGCCCAGUGAAUUCUGGUAACCAGGAUUCCGGCCUGUCCACGGCAGAACCAAGUUCCAAAGAGAAGGGGGGACCCAGACGUCCUGUCCAGCUGGCGUCAAGCAGACACUGGAACCUGACUGAGACACACCACAAGAGCCGCUGGGCGCUAGUUAGCAGCAAUGAUGGCCGCUGUCACCAUAGUGACUGUUCUGUAUCAGACACCGUACACCCUGUUUCUACUCUCCUGAGCACCCUGCCACUGCCAUUCCUGUG